AAACGCUUGAAGUCAGUCGCGUUAGCUAGAACUCAGCCUCGCUCUUGCGUGGUGUACUUUCUGGUUGACGGGUCAGCAUCAAUUUUGACUGCUGGAAAAAGGCCUUGGGAAUGUGGCAGCUUCGGCUGUGUUAUAGCCCUUGGUCACAUACAGCGGUUGGGAUUGAGGAACUCAGCACGCCGCAAGGCCGGGUUUCGACCACGUUCGUGCUUAGGAUGCUGGCAUAAUGGCUUUAAGCGA
rnacentral:rRNA from 1 species